GCCGGAAUUGCUAGUAAUGGCAGGUCAGCAUACUGCCGUGAAUACGUUCCCGGGCCUUGUACACACCGCCCGUCACACCAUGAGAGUUGGAGAUACCCGAAGCCUGUGAGCUAACAAACGAGGCAGCAGUCGAAGGUAGAAUCAAUGAUUGGGGUGAAGUCGUAACAAGGUAAC
rnacentral:rRNA from 1 species